rnacentral:rRNA from 1 species
GAUGAACGCUGGCGGCGCGCCUGACACAUGCAAGUCGAACGGCACCUAUCUUCGGAUAGAAGCGAGUGGCGAACGGCUGAGUAACACGUGGAGAACCUGCCCCCUCCCCCGGGAUAGCCGCCCGAAAGGACGGGUAAUACCGGAUACCCCGGGGUGCCGCAUGGCACCCCGGCUAAAGCCCCGACGGGAGGGGAUGGCUCCGCGGCCCAUCAGGUAGACGGCGGGGUGACGGCCCACCGUGCCGACAACGGGUAGCCGGGUUGAGAGACCGACCGGCCAGAUUGGGACUGAGACACGGCCCAGACUCCUACGGGAGGCAGCAGUGGGGAAUCUUGCGCAAUGGGGGGAACCCUGACGCAGCGACGCCGCGUGCGGGACGGAGGCCUUCGGGACGUAAACCGCUUUCAGCAGGGAAGAGUCAAGACUGUACCUGCAGAAGAAGCCCCGGCUAACUACGUGCCAGCAGCCGCGGUAAUACGUAGGGGGCGAGCGUUAUCCGGAUUCAUUGGGCGUAAAGCGCGCGUAGGCGGCCCGGCAGGCCGGGGGUCGAAGCGGGGGGCUCAACCCCCCGAAGCCCCCGGAACCUCCGCGGCUUGGGUCCGGUAGGGGAGGGUGGAACACCCGGUGUAGCGGUGGAAUGCGCAGAUAUCGGGUGGAACACCGGUGGCGAAGGCGGCCCUCUGGGCCGAGACCGACGCUGAGGCGCGAAAGCUGGGGGAGCGAACAGGAUUAGAUACCCUGGUAGUCCCAGCCGUAAAC